UACAAUGUCAGGAUGCUUACCUCUUCUUCACUCAUGGGGGAGUCAUCUCUUAUUUUGCUCGACUAAACUGGCAGCUCCCACUACUAGAAAAGGUUAAAAGUAUUCAACUGGCUCGCUUAUAACAACAAACUCCUUACAGCAGACAACCUUGAAAGAAGGAAGUUCCCUUAUCCUGAGAAUUGCCCACUAUGUGGUGAGGAAGAAGAAACCGUUCAGCACUUGUUACUUACAUGCUCUUACUCCUCC
rnacentral:lncRNA from 1 species